GUGCUCACUUCUGCAGCCCAUAUACUAAAAUCGGAAUGAUACAGAGAAGGUUAGCAUGGCCACUGAGCAAGGAUGACACGCAAAUUCGGGAGUGUUCCAUAGUUUUA